GAUGAAGAACGCAGCGAAAUGCGAUACGUAAUGUGAAUUGCAGAAUUCAGUGAAUCAUCGAAUCUUUGAACGCAUAUUGCGCUCUCUGGUAUUCCGGAGAGCAUGCUUGUUUGAGUAUCAGUAAACACCUCAACUUCCAUAUCUUUUUUGAAAUGGGAGUUGGACUUGAGUGAUCCCAACGCUUUUCCUCACCGAAAAGUGGCGGGUUACUUGAAAUGCAGGUGCAGCUGGACUUUUCUCUGAGCUAUAAGCAUAUCUAUUUAGUCUGCCUAAAAACAGAUUAUUACCUUUGCUGCAGCUAACAUAAAGGAGAUUAGUUCUUGUGCUGACUGAUGCAGGAUUCACAAAGACAGGCUUCGGCCGACUUUGUAAACUCGAUCUCAAAUCAAGUAAGACUACCCGCUGAACUUAAGCAUAUCAAUAAGCGAGGA
rnacentral:misc_RNA from 1 species